GAGCGAUAGUCCAUUUCUCCCCGGCACGGUGACCCUGGGGCUGCCAGGACCAAAUGUGUCUCCUUCCGGCUUGUGUAACACACCAAGUAACCGGCGCCAGGUCGCACAGCCGCCCUGGCCUUCCGGGAGGACUCCGGUGAGCGCGGUGCACGCUACUGGGAAGUCCCACUGCGGGAGUUGAGGCCGCGGAUUCCGAGGGCGGAAUCAGAAGCGACGCGGACCCUCCGUACCGCACUGCGUGGACCGCGCCUGCGCGUACACUCAGCCAUUCACGACUCGUUCUUCCAGCUCUCCACUGAAAGUCGUCCCCUGGCCGGUUUCUUUUUUCUGCUUUCUUGUUUUCCUCCGGAGAGUCAGCGCGAUGGUGAAUUUCCGUUUCUGGUUGUUGCCAUGCAGCCCUGAGGAGUUGCUAUUGUGAUCUGGUUCAGUGCCUGGCUGUGGUUAGAGUUACUUGUUGUUGGUAAAUAGCCACUAUGGAGGCUAAGGACUAGAAGAAACACAGAAAGAAAAACAGUGGGCCCAAAGCUCAAAAGAAAAAGAAGCGGCAUCUGCAGGAUCUCCAGCUAGGAGAUGAAGAAGAUGCCCGGAAAAGAAAUCCCAAAGCUUUUGCAGCUUAGUCUGCUGUGCAGAUAGCUCGAUCCUUUCACAGGACUCAGGAUUUGAAGACAAAAAGCAUUAUAUUCCAGUGGUUGAUCAAACUCUACUAGAGCCCCCACCAAUAGUAGUGAUAGUGAUGGGGCCUCCAAAAGUUGGAAAGAGCAUUUUGAUACAAGGCUUCAUUCGGAACUUCACUUGGCAGAAGUUGACCGAGAUCAGGGGCCCAGUGACGAUCGUGUCAGGAGAUGCUGCCACAGACACAGUUGGCGUGGCUGGUGUCAUCUGACGGACAUGCAUGUGUUUGUUGUUUUCUUGAGUGGAACAUAUUAAAGAUUGUCGUAUCAUGUUAAUCUCUCUUAUGCUUUUACUAAGUUGGCUAUAGCUUCAGAAAAGGGUAAGUUCUCAGAGAUAAGGAUGUGACACACAUCUUUUCCUGACUUCCCUAUGGCUUUGCCAAGUAUGUUCCUUGGAAGGCCCUAGCAGGCCUGGUUACUGUGAACACAUCAUUUAACAGAUACCACGCACCUCCUAUGUGCCAGGCUCACAUGCUUGCACUUAUGAAGCCACAUUCUGGGGAAAGUGAGAGUUUUCUCUGUUUUCUAUGAGAGUUUGUCUGCUUUUGGAGAUGGUGACCUUUCCGAGUAUCAUGGAAAAUGAAACAAGCUUCCAGUUGUAGAAUGACAAUAUAUAAUCUGAAAUCUCUUGUUAUUGCAAUGAUAUAGUUGGAUUGAGGCUUUUCUUUAUCUUUGGAGCAUCCAUAUAUAUUUUUUUCUUUUUUUGAGACAGAGUCUUACUCUAUGGCACAGGCUGGAGUGCAGUAGGGUGA